UCUUCAGACUAGGAUUCUUGAGGUAUUGACAGAAGCAAGGCUUCUAUUGAUUAAGCCUCUUGCAGCAGAGUUGAGAUGGGUUGGUGUUGGACGUUAAGGCGCUUAGGCAUGGAGUCAGCUGCUGCACGUCGCUUGCAAGCGACGAAAACUGUGCUUCUGCCAAGAGUAGUGACUAAGUUCUAAAUUUUUGUAUAUCUAUUCUACAUUACUUAAGAAUUAAGUAAUUUUAACCUUAGAUUUGUGUAUGAAUUUUAGUGAUUGAAUUACAGUUAAGUUAAUGUGUAUUUUUUAACCUGCAAAGUCAAUACUAUGAUUUAUCUAUUCUACAGUACAGUUAAGUUAAUCUGUGUAUUCUAACUUAUCUAUUCUAUGUUAGUUUUUUUAAAUUUGUGUAUUUUUUUUAUUUCAAUUGACUUUGCAGGUUAAAAAAUGACCAUGGACUGUCCAACCUCAUUCCAAGACUUUGUAUUUUGUAUUCUACAUUCCAAGACUUUCAGCCAAGGGGUCCUUUGCUCUAUGGGAUUUGAGGUGCAAUAAUUACAGCAGUGGCCAAAGACUUUGUAUACAAGCUUGUAAAUCUGUGUAAUUUCAUUCAAAAAAGCUAAACAGCAUGUACUCAAGUAGCUGAAUUGUAAAUAUGUAAUUUCAUUCUUUUCUUUUGUUGUAAUUUCAUUCUUUUCUUUUGUAGCUUUCAAUUAUUUUAAAUUUGGAAAUGUAAAUUUGUAAUUUCAUUGAUUAUUUUUUAGUUUUAGAGUGAAGUAUUGUAAUGUGAAGUAUUGUAAUUUUUGGAAUUGUAAUUUCAUAGUGUUUGUAUUUGAGAGUUA